GACGAACGCUGGCGGCGUGCUUAACACAUGUAAGUCGAACGGAAAGGCCCUGCUUGCCGGGUACUCGAGUGGCGAACGGGUGAGUAACACGUGGGUGAUCUGCCCUGCACUUCGGGAUAAGCCUGGGAAACUGGGUCUAAUACCGGAUAGGAGCCAUUUUUAGUGUGAUGGUUGGAAAGUUUUUUCGGUGUAGGAUGAGCUCGCGGCCUAUCAGCUUGUUGGUGGGGUAAUGGCCUACCAAGGCGGCGACGGGUAGCCGGCCUGAGAGGGUGGACGGCCACAUUGGGACUGAGAUACGGCCCAGACUCCUACGGGAGGCAGCAGUGGGGAAUAUUGCACAAUGGGCGCAAGCCUGAUGCAGCGACGCCGCGUGGGGGAUGACGGCCUUCGGGUUGUAAACUCCUUUCGCUAGGGACGAAGCUUUUUGUGACGGUACCUAGAGAAGAAGCACCGGCUAACUACGUG
rnacentral:rRNA from 1 species